ensembl:rRNA 5S_rRNA 5S ribosomal RNA
GUCUACGGCCAUACCACCCUGAAUGAGCCUGAUCUUGGAAGCUAAGCAGGGUCAGGCCUGGUUAGUACUUGGAUGGGAGAUAAGACACUAAAAUUCAUGAGCUGAAUUUA